CUGAAACCUGGAGACCGGGAACAUACAUUCUCCGAGGAGUCCUGCAGAAGCGCCCGGAGCUGCCGCCCGGUGCUCACACCUGAGCUGAGUUCGGAUGGACUGCUGGGGUCGGAGGGCAGCCGAGGGUGGGAUUCACAACUCUGAGGAGGGCAAGGCUCAACAGGGCCCCUAAAUUAUGAGUUUUACGUUCAGGAACCCCAUCAGAUUCUCAUGGAGAAGAUCUGAGGAAAACCCCAUCAUGUUUCUGGCAGAAGGAGAAGACCAUUCUGAAAUAUGCCCAGAGCUUUCUCCACACAAAAGAGCUACUCUUAAACAAAGAAAACUUCUUUAAAAAUCCCUGUCCUAUGUAGGCAAAGGGCAGUUCGCCAUCUUCAGCCACCUCUACGCACCUGUCUUACCAAGGGGAGAAGAGCAGACUAAGAAACCCUGAGGAAGGUCACAGUGCAGACACACAGGUCACUGAAAACUGAGACUUGGUCACAGCACUGAAAAAUAUUUUUCUCACUGCGUUUUAUCACCAUAGCAACGGGCCGCCCACAUAAUCAUGGCGGACUGCGCUGAUGGAGCUACAAGUAACAGUGUACUUCAGACCAAUUCUACAAAAACAAAAGGCGGGGGCGGGGGGUGUGGACAGGAACAAGGAAGCCAGAAGGAACAAAGACCUCUGGCAACAUCCUUUAGCGAGGGGGGAGUCUAUCCUCUUACCAGGUGAGCACAAAGGUCACACACCAGCCCUUCGGUUCAUGAAGUUUCUCUCUAUUUCUGGAAUAAAAGCUUCCCUCACCUGUGGAGCACUUCAACCGUGUCAGCUCUGCGAGGACAGAGCUGAUGGCACUGAUUUCUCUGCUGGGUGUUGUGAGCAAGACAGCAUAAAACUGACAGACUUAAGGAUUCAAAUGAAAUACCCCAAUUAAAAUGCAGUAGGAACACACAAAACAGUACCGCCAGAGCAAGAUAAGCCAAGAAGAAAGAAAAGAGUGUCACUGUGACCAACAUCACACAGGGCAAAGCACGGGGAGAGAAGUUCAAGUGAGGAGUUUUCAGGCUCAAAAAGGAGGUUAUGGGCAGCAAGAUAAAGGUGACGGGUAACAGAGCCCUGCAAUCAAUGCAAAGCACUUCACCAAUUAAAUAGCACUGCAG
rnacentral:lncRNA from 1 species